rnacentral:sRNA from 1 species
CUGAAAUCAGCAGGAAUAAAUUUUAGCGCUGAUGG